AGUGAACGCUGGCGGUAGGCCUAACACAUGCAAGUCGAACGGCAGCACAGUAAGAGCUUGCUCUUACGGGUGGCGAGUGGCGGACGGGUGAGGAGUACAUCGGAAUCUACUUUUUCGUGGGGGAUAACGUAGGGAAACUUACGCUAAUACCGCAUACGACCUACGGGUGAAAGCAGGGGAUCUUCGGACCUUGCGCGAUUGAAUGAGCCGAUGUCGGAUUAGCUAGUUGGCGGGGUAAAGGCCCACCAAGGCGACGAUCCGUAGCUGGUCUGAGAGGAUGAUCAGCCACACUGGAACUGAGACACGGUCCAGACUCCUACGGGAGGCAGCAGUGGGGAAUAUUGGACAAUGGGCGCAAGCCUGAUCCAGCCAUACCGCGUGGGUGAAGAAGGCCUUCGGGUUGUAAAGCCCUUCUGUUGGGAAAGAAAAGCAGCAGGUUAAUACCCCGCUGUUCUGACGGUACCCAAAGAAUAAGCACCGGCUAACUUCGUG
rnacentral:rRNA from 1 species